UGUGGGGUGAUGAAAUUUGGCAGACAUGCCCUCUUGUCUCGGGGGUUGGGAGUCCAGGAUAAACACAGCAUAAUGGGUUGACCACUAAUCUUAUUUGUGCUGCGGCUAACUGCCCAGUGGAGGUUCGAGUCCUCCCCCUACAG
rnacentral:tRNA from 1 species